CCUACGGGUGGCAGCAGUGGGGAAUAUUGGGCAAUGGGCGCAAGCCUGACCCAGCAACGCCGCGUGAAGGAAGAAGGCUUUCGGGUUGUAAACUUCUUUUCUCAGGGACGAAGACAGUGACGGUACCUGCGGAAUAAGCCACGGCUAACAACGUGCCAGCAGCCGCGGGAAUACGUAGGUGGCAAGCUUUAUCCGGAUUUACUGGGUGUAAAGGUCGUGUAGGCGGGACUGCAAAUCAGAUGUGAAAACCACGGGCUCAACCUGUGGCGUGCAUUUGAGACUGUAGUGCUUGAGAACUGUAGAGGCAGACGGAAUGCCUAGUGUAGCGGUGAAAUGCGUAGAUAUUAGGAGGAACACCAGUGGCGAAGGCGGUCUGCUGGACAGCAACUGACGCUGAGGCGCGAAAGCGUGGGGAGCAAACAGGAUUAGAUACCCGGGUAGUC
rnacentral:rRNA from 1 species